AACUGUCUGCAAGGCUGCUUGUCACCUUCGAAUAUACUCCAUCAACAUGCUGCCACUUCAUCUUGUUUAGGCUCUUCGACUGCUUUAUAGAAGGACACUGAAGUCCACAUCUAUCUCCUUGAGACAGGCAAAGAAACAAAUCCUUUAUCCUGUCUCAAAAAGAGCUGACAAGCUUUUAGUAGUGUUUAUCUUCACUGAAGGGUGAUAACCUUGAAAAUGAAAGUGAAAAGAGACUGAUACAAUUAGAUAAAGAAACCAGGACUCAAAGAUGAAGUAACUUGUUCAAAGUCUGGCAGCUACUAAGUGACAGAGCUGAAAUUCAAGCCACCAACUACAAGUACAGAUGGACUAAGGGGGCGCAAACCCCCCUGGGUGAAACAACAAAAAGAAAAACAGAUAAAAUAUAUUAAACAACAGCUCUCAAGAUACUAGCAUCAGGCAACAAACCAAAGUGAUCCCUGUGAGAUAGUAAACAAAUGAGGUGAACCCUAUGACAGGUGCAACUUACUGCUUUGCAGAGUUUCCAGGCCAUGACACUAAGAGGAGAUAUCCAAGCAGAGCCCAGUGAAUGACCCAGAUUGAGGAGACAGAGCUGAAAGUCCAAGAAGACCCAAGGCAGCUGGAAUUUGCAAGACCGAGUACCAGAGAAAAGAGGGCUGAGCAGAGAUAGAAUUCCAGAGAUUUGUAAAGGGUCUCCCUUAAGUAUUUAGCAGAGUAUUAAUCAUUGUAGGCAUUUGAGGCAGUUACCUGUGGCCAGGAAAAAAACCACCCAAGAGGAUUAAAGGAAACAGUGUUUUAGCACUCACACAAGGCCAGAAAUAGCCUAUUUUCCCAUCCAGAUUGACUUAACUUCGUAAUUUGUGGGGCUUUGGGUAAAAAAGUCUACUCAUUAGUUAGUCUUACCUCAGUAGUAGGGAAUAAGUAGAUGUAGACUAAACACUAUACUGGUACCACCAAAAAAGCUUUAAAAACAGACUUAAAAGAAGUAAAUGCUUUUCAAGUAAUUUAACUGCAUCCUAGAACAAAAGACAUGCAAUUGGAGUCCCUGAAAGGAGGAUGUGAGAAAAAAUAUUACAGGAAAUAAUGACUAAAAUUGUUUCAAAUUUGAUGAAAGGAUAGACACAAGAAACUCAACAAAACUCAAAGCGUACAAGAAACAUGAAGAAGCCAGGUGCAGUGGCUCAUACUUGUAGUCCCAGCUGCUUGGGAGGCUGAGGCAGGAGGAUCUCUUGAGCCCAGUAGAUUGAAUCUGCAGUGAGCUGUGAACGCACCACUGUACUCCAGCCUGGGAGACAGAGCAAGACCCUAUCAAAAAAAAAAGGAAGAGACAUGAAGAAAACUACACUAAGGCACACAAUAAUCAAACUGCUCAAAAUCAGUGAUAAAGUGAAAAUCUUAAAUGCAACCAGAAGGAAAAAGACAUUAUAUACAGAGAAACAACGAUAAGGAUGACAUUAGAUUUAACUUCAGUAAUAAUGCAAUCCAGAAAACAGUGGAACAACAUUUUUAAAGUGCUGAAAGAAAAAAGCUAGAAUUCUACUCUCAGUAAAAAUGUCUUUAUAAGAAUUUUUUUCCUUUUUUUCUUUUUUCCUUGAGAUGAAGUCUCACUCUGUUGCCCAGGCUGUUCUUGAACUCCUGAGCUCAAACAACUCUCUGCCUUGGACUCCUAAAGUGCUGGGUGGGAUUACAGGCGUGAACCACCGUGCCUGGCCAGGACAUUUUUGGACAUACGAAGCUGAAAGAGUUCAUCACCAGCAAAUCCAUACUACAAAAAAUGUUAAAGAAAUU
rnacentral:lncRNA from 1 species